CACGUAGGGCGCGAGCGUUGUCCGGAAUUAUUGGGCGUAAAGAGCUCGUAGGCGGCCUGUUGCGUCCGCUGUGAAAGCCCGGGGCUUAACCCCGGGUCGGCAGUGGAUACGGGCAGGCUAGAGGUAGGUAGGGGAGAAUGGAAUUCCCGGUGUAGCGGUGAAAUGCGCAGAUAUCGGGAGGAACACCGGUGGCGAAGGCGGAUCUCUGGGCCAUUACUGACGCUGAGGAGCGAAAGCGUGGGGAGCAAACAGG
rnacentral:rRNA from 1 species